GGAGGCAAGGAGAAUUUGAUCAAGGCGGUGGCCCAAGCCAUCCCAACUUAUGCGAUGAGUGUAUUCAAAUUCCCAAAGAAAAUUUUCAAGGGAAUCACUAAUGCCAUUUCAUAUUAUUGGUGGAGUGACGAGAAAAACCAACGUAAAAUGCAUUGGUUUGCAUGGUGGAAGAUAUGUGUCCCAAAGGAGAGAGGUGGUAUGUGUUUCUAUGAUGUGAGUAGAUUUAACCUGGCAAUGCUUGCGAAACAAUGUUGGAGGUUAAUUAAGAAUUAUGAGUCAUUAUGUGCCAGGGUUCUCCGUCAAACUAUUAUACUCUAG
rnacentral:rRNA from 1 species